rnacentral:rRNA from 1 species
AUUGAACGCUGGCGGCAGGCCUAACACAUGCAAGUCGAACGAGUGGCGUACGUGUGAGUAAUGUCUGGGAAACUGCCUGAUGGCGGGGGAUAACUACUGGAAACGGUAGUUAAUAACGCAUACCAUCAGAUGUGCCCAUAUGGGAUUAGAGUGUUGGUGGUGCAACGGCUCACCAAGGCGACGAUCCCUAGCUGGUCUGAGAGGAUGACCAGCCACCCUGGAAAUGAGACACGGCCCAGACUCCUACUGGGUGCGGCCGUGGGGAAUAUUGCACAAUGGUGGCAAGCCUGAUACAGCCAUGCCGCGUGUAUGAAGAGUGCCUUCGGGUUGUAGAGUCCUUUCAGAGGGGAGGCGUUAGCCGCAGAAGAAGCACAGGCUAACUCCGUGCCAGCGGCAGCGGUAAUUC